rnacentral:rRNA from 1 species
ACUGCUCAGUAACACGUGGAUAACCUGCCCUUGGGUCCGGCAUAACUCCGGGAAACUGGAGAUAAUUCCGGAUAACGCAUAUAUGCUGGAAUGCUUUAUGCGUAAAAUGGAUUCGUCUGCCCAAGGAUGGGUCUGCGGCCUAUCAGGUAGUAGUGGGUGUAAUGUACCUACUAGCCUACGACGGGUACGGGUUGUGAGAGCAAGAGCCCGGAGAUGGAUUCUGAGACAUGAAUCCAGGCCCUACGGGGCGCAGCAGGCGCGAAAACUUUACAAUGCGGGAAACCGUGAUAAGGGGACACCGAGUGCCAGCAUCAUAUGCUGGCUGUCCAGGUGUGUAAAAUACACCUGUUAGCAAGGGCCGGGCAAGACCGGUGCCAGCCGCCGCGGUAACACCGGCGGCCCGAGUGGUGAUCGUGAUUAUUGGGUCUAAAGGGUCCGUAGCCGGUUUGGUCAGUCCUCCGGGAAAUCUGAUAGCUCAACUAUUAGGCUUUCGGAGGAUACUGCCAGACUUGGAACCGGGGGAGGUAAGAGGUACUACAGGGGUAGGAGUGAAAUCUUGUAAUCCCUGUGGGACCACCUGUGGCGAAGGCGUCUUACCAGAACGGGUUCGACGGUGAGGGACGAAAGCUGGGGGCACGAACCGGAUUAGAUACCCGGGUAGUCCCAGCCGUAAACGAUGCUCGCUAGGUGUCAGGCAUGGCGCGACCGUGUCUGGUGCCGCAGGGAAGCCGUGAAGCGAGCCACCUGGGAAGUACGGCCGCAAGGCUGAAACUUAAAGGAAUUGGCGGGGGAG